rnacentral:rRNA from 1 species
CGUACACUCCUGCGGGAGGCAGCAGUGAGGAAUAUUGGACAAUGGGUGGAAGCCUGAUCCAGCCAUCCCGCGUGCAGGAAGACGGCCCUAUGGGUUGUAAACUGCUUUUAUCUGGGGAUAAACCUACUUACGUGUAAGUAGCUGAAGGUACCAGAAGAAUAAGCACCGGCUAACUCCGUCCCAGCAGCCGCGGUAAUACGGAGGGUGCAAGCGUUAUCCGGAUUUAUUGGGUUUAAAGGGUCCGUAGGCGGACUGAUAAGUCAGUGGUGAAAUCCGACAGCUUAACUGUCGAACUGCCAUUGAUACUGUUAGUCUUGAGUAAGGUUGAAGUGGCUGGAAUAAGUAGUGUAGCGGUGAAAUGCAUAGAUAUUACUUAGAACACCAAUUGCGAAGGCAGGUCACUAAGUCUUAACUGACGCUGAUGGACGAAAGCGUGGGGAGCGAACAGGAUUAGAAACCCCGGUAGUCCCA